rnacentral:tRNA from 1 species
GCGGGGGUGGCGGAGUGGUCAAACGCGCCAGGUUCAGGGCCUGGUGGCUUAGUGCCUUCCUGGGUUCGAAUCCCAGCCCCCGCA